rnacentral:rRNA from 1 species
GACGAACGCUGGCGGCGUGCUUAACACAUGCAAGUCGAACGAUGAAGUUCCUUCGGGAAUGGAUUAGUGGCGAACGGGUGAGGAACACGUGAGAAACCUGCCUUUCAUUUUGGGAUAACUCCGGGAAACCGGGGCUAAAACCGAAUACUCCGUCUCGGCGGCAUCGCUGAGCCGGGAAAAAAUUUUGAUGAAAGAUGGUCUCGCGGCCUAUCAGCUAGUUGGUGAGGUAAUGGCUCACCAAGGCAACGACGGGUAGCCGGCCUGGGAGGGGGACCGGCCACACUGGGACUGGGACACGGCCCAGACGCCUACGGGAGGCAGCAGUGGGGAAUAUUGGGCAAUGGGCGCAAGCCUGACCCAGCGACGCCGCGUGAGGGAUGAAGGCCUUCGGGUUGUAAACCUCUUUCAGUAGGGAAGAAGCGAAAGUGACGGUACCUAAAGAAGAAGCACCGGCUAACUAUGUGCCAGCAGCCGCAGUAA